rnacentral:rRNA from 1 species
UACGUAGGUGGCGAGCGUUGUCCGGAUUUACUGGGCGUAAAGAGCGCGCAAGCGGCUGGUCAAGUCCGAUGUGAAAGCUCCCGGCUUAACUGGGAAAUUGCAUCGGAAACUGAUCGGCUGGAAGGUGGGAGAGGGUAGCGGAAUUCCCGGUGUAGUGGUGAAAUGCGUAGAUAUCGGGAGGAACACCAGUGGCGAAAGCGGCUACCUGGCCCAUUCUUGACGCUGAGGCGCGAAAGCUAGGGGAGCAAACGGG